CUUUCGAUGCGUACCUGAACGAUAUGGAGUACCGUCGGAUGUCUCUAUGACUCUGGCUGCAAAGCCCAGGCCAAAGAACAGAGAGCCAAUAGACAUUUUACAUACACCUGUCAUUUUGAUACCAUCAAGGUGGACUGCAUGGAUUUUUCUCUACUUGCUGGAAUAAGUGACUGCCGCGGAGAAUCACAAAAUAACAAUGUAUUCCAGAUUGUG